rnacentral:misc_RNA from 1 species
GGAAGACCAAGAUUUAUUUCUGAAGUACAUCAAGAAAAUAUGAAUUCUCCUUUACCUGGGUUUGUUCCCCCUCACAGACCAUACGAGAGUUUGAUUGGUGAAACCAGGUACCCAGGUCCAAGUGGCCAUUCGCUUCACAGUUAUCCUGGGAGUGAUCCUUACAGCAUUGGUGGACGUGGACGUUUCCUAGACAGUCGUCAGAUGGGUGAACUACCCCCAAGGGAAUACACUGAUGUAGCUUACCCCUUCCCACCCACUGGUUAGUUCUUUAAUUGACUGCACCCUGCUGUUGCGUGUGAUAUAUUUCCAACAAUAAAAAUCAAAAGAUAAACAGCUUACCACUUUGCAUUGGAGUGCGUAAUUACAUUAGAGAUGGGUAUUUACAUUAGAUGGAGUGUUGGC